GACGAACGCUGGCGGCGUGCUUAACACAUGCAAGUCGAACGGGCCUUGUCCCCUUUUUUUUUGGGGGUGGGGUUAGUGGCGAACGGGUGAGUAACACGUGAGUAACCUGCCCCUCACUUCUGGAUAACCGCUUGAAAGGGUGGCUAAUACGGGGUGUUCUGGCCUGCUCGCAUGGGUGGGUUUGGAAAGAUUCGACCGGUUUUGGUUGUUUUGUUGGGGGAUGGGCUCGCGGCCUAUCAGCUUGUUGGUGGGGUGAUGACCUGCCAAGGCUUUGACGGGUAGCCGGCCUGAGAGGGUGGGCGGUCACACUGGGACUGAGACACGGCCCAGACUCCUACGGGAGGCAGCAGUGGGGAAUAUUGCACAAUGGGCGCAAGCCUGAUGCAGCGACGCCGCGUGAGGGAUGGAGGCCUUCGGGUUGUGAACCUCUUUCGCCAGUGAAGAAGGUCCUGCUCUUUGUGGUGGGGUUGACGGUAGCUGGGUUAAUGAAGCGCCGGCUAACUACGUG
rnacentral:rRNA from 1 species